AAAGUAUAUAGAAAUGUGAGUUGAAAUGCCAUGCAUGAAUUAAUAUAUGAUGCAUAUGUAUGAAUUGGUGCGGUGGACGCACAUGUAAGAAUUGAUUUAUGAUGCAUAUGUAUGAAUUGGUGCGGUGGACGCACAGGUAAGAAUUGAUUUAUGAUGCAUAUGUAUGAAUUGGUGCGGUGGACGCACAGGUAAGAAUUGAUUUUAUGAUGCAUAUGUAUGAAAUGGUGCGGUGGACGCACAGAUGAGUAUUUAAUUACUGUUAUGAUGAUGAUGAUAUAUAUUGAGCUCAAAUCCUGCACCAUGGUUUAGUGCUUAUAGUAUUCACCGCAUCGCACGCUCGCCUUGGAUCCAAGUAGAUGCUAGUCGUACAGUCCACGCGGAGUGGGUACGACAGACCAGUCGCGAGAGUGUUAGUGAGAUUCCGACUGGUGGGUGACCUUAGAUUAUGUGCACAG
rnacentral:lncRNA from 1 species